GUUUAGACGGGCAGCUGGAUCUGACAACAGAAGAGUUGACAGUGUGGGGUGUUAAAGAUGGGAAGCAAUAUCCCUGCAUCAUCAAGGGCAAAGAAAUAACAGAUACUGAGGCUAAAUAUUUCAUCUGUGAAAUUCAAAACACAACUAAUGUCCAUUUUAAUCAGCUGACGGUUAAAUAUGGAGGAAUGACAGUGCAGGUGUGGAAUCCACCUCUUUGUGAGCAAUACCUCCUGAUCCUGCACCUCCUGCUGGUUCCCUCUCUCACUGUUGUGUUGGUGAUUCUGUUUCACUGCUCCUUUAUGAAGAACAAACCCUGAUUAUUGACAGCGGUUUUUCCAGCUGAGAGUCGCUGUGACAUCAUGACUAGUUGAAUCCUCCGUUCAUCCAUAAGAAAUAUUAUACAGCUGCUUGCAAAAAUUUAACGCAAUGCUUCACUUUUUGAAUUUGCAAUUGUUUUCAACUGUUUUCUUUUUACUUUUCUUUAUUUUUAUAUGUUCAUAUUAUUUACCAUUUUGGGAAUAAAAAGCUACAAGCUUCUAGAUUUCACCCAUUAAGAUAAAAAUAAUCUAAUAAUAGAGUUUAGUUGAUGAUUCAAGCUAAACAAUCUGCCAGAAUAAAACAUUUAUUCCUCUAGAUGCUCCUGAGUUUAAGUUUAAGGCAAAGAAUAAAGAGGCGAUCAUCCUGCUUCGUUUUCUUCAACAAAAAUAAUUAUAAAUCAUAACAAAUGUUAAUACUGGCCAUAAACAAAUAAUUAUACAGUAUUUAAUUCCUGCUCACUCUAAUAUAAAAGCUAAACCUAAUUAUUUUAAGUGGACUGACAAAUAUUGCAUAACUUUAAAAUGUUCUCAAGUUUAAAUGAAUGUUUUAGAACCACUGAAAAAAUGAGUCUUUGUUCUAAACUAGCUUUAAUUUUUAUGCUUGACUGUGGAGAUUUGGAAAAUUAUCCAUAAACUUUUAGCUCUCAGUGUUGUAAUAUAUAGGUAGGUAGACUGCAUUUAUCAACAUUAUGCAGAAUUACAAAUAUUACAUGGAUUAUUAUUAAUGGUUUCUAAUGUUGGCUUGUUAAUAAGCCCAGCAUAGAACAAUUAAAGAUAAAUUAGUUAUUGUAACAAUUAGUGUGUUUAGAUGGUGUUAAACAAAACCUCCCAGUGGUGACUUUUUUUUUUUUCCUAAACUAGUUAAACUAAAACAAAUAGCUAGAAUAGUCAAACAUUUUGGAUAUUAUUUCUUUUCAUUUAAUAAUGUAAAUAUUUUGAAGGUUGGGGCUUUUAGCUGAUAUGAUGGUGUUCCUGAAGGGAUGUAAAUCCAAGCAAAUAUCUCAAACCUGUGCACUGCAAAAAUUGAAAUCUAAGUCAAUUUUUCUUUAAAUAAUUUUAUUUUCUUUUGAUUUGAGCAGAUACUUGAGAUAAUUGUCCAACGGAAUAGAAAUCUUUCACAUUUAAAAUAGGAAAAAUAAAUUAAUUCAAGUAUUUAAUUUCUAAUUACCUCCUUUUAAGGUUAAAAACAUGUUAUAGAUAUUCCCAUUAUCUGCUUAUAUUAAAGACAAAUAGACUUAUUUUAAGAAAUCUCUACUUUUUUUCAAUGAAGAGAAAUAAAAGCAGAUGAUUUAACAGGCAAAGAAAAACA